GUGAGGAAUUUUCCGCAAUGGGCGAAAGCCUGACGGAGCAAUGCCGCGUGAAGGAUGAAGGCCUAUGGGUUGUAAACUUCUUUUCUCAGAAAAGAAUUAUGACGGUAUCUGAGGAAUAAGCAUCGGCUAACUCUGUGCCAGCAGCCGCGGUAAUACGAAGGGGGCUAGCGUUGUUCGGAUCUACUGGGCGUAAAGCGCACGUAGGCGGAUCGUUAAGUCGAGGGUGAAAUCCUGGAGCUCAACUCCAGAACUGCCUUUGAUACUGAUGGUCUCGAGUAUGGAAGAGGUUGGUGGAACUGCGAGUGUAGAGGUGAAAUUCGUAGAUAUUAGGAAGAACACCAGUGGCGAAGGCGGCUCACUGGUCUGGUACUGACGCUGAGGUGCGAAAGCGUGGGGAGCAAACAGGAUUAGAUACCCGGGUAGUCC
rnacentral:rRNA from 1 species